UCGAUUAUUUGCGCCGCAAUGUUGCCGGCGGGAUAGCGAUCGACUGAAUGGAUAUCGUCAAAACCCGCCCGGAAGGCGGGUUUU
rnacentral:sRNA from 1 species